rnacentral:tRNA from 1 species
GCGCCUGUAGCUCAGUUGGAUAGAGCGUCCGCCUCCUAAGCAGAAGGCCCCCGGUUCGACUCCGGGCAGGCGCA